AACGAACGCUGGCGGCAGGCCUAACACAUGCAAGUCGAGCGAGAUCUUCGGGUCUAGCGGCGGACGGGUGAGUAACGCGUGGGAAUAUGCCCUUCUCUGCGGAAUAGCCUCGGGAAACUGAGCGUAAUACCGCAUACGCCCUUUGGGGGAAAGAUUUAUCGGAGAAGGAUUAGCCCGCGUUGGAUUAGGUAGUUGGUGGGGUAACGGCCUACCAAGCCGACGAUCCAUAGCUGGUUUGAGAGGAUGAUCAGCCACACUGGGACUGAGACACGGCCCAGACUCCUACGGGAGGCAGCAGUGGGGAAUCUUAGACAAUGGGGGCAACCCUGAUCGAGCCAUGCCGCGUGAGUGAUGAAGGCCUUAGGGUUGUAAAGCUCUUUCAGCUGGGAAGAUAAUGACGGUACCAGCAGAAGAAGCCCCGGCUAACUCCGUG
rnacentral:rRNA from 1 species